UAGAAAGAGUGACUGGGUAGAGCCCUUGAC
rnacentral:piRNA from 1 species